rnacentral:rRNA from 1 species
GACGAACGCUGGCGGCGUGCCUAAUACAUGCAAGUUGAGCGCUGAAGGUUGGUACUUGUACCGACUGGAUGAGCAGCGAACGGGUGAGUAACGCGUGGGGAAUCUGCCUUUGAGCGGGGACAACAUUCGGAAACGAAUGCUAAUACCGCAUAAAAACUUUAAACACAAGUUUUAAGUUUGAAAGAUGCAAUUGCAUCACUCAAAGAUGAUCCCGCGUUGUAUUAGCUAGUUGGUGAGGUAAAGGCUCACCAAGGCGAUGAUACAUAGCCGACCUGAGAGGGUGAUCGGCCACAUUGGGACUGAGACACGGCCCAAACUCCUACGGGAGGCAGCAGUAGGGAAUCUUCGGCAAUGGACGAAAGUCUGACCGAGCAACGCCGCGUGAGUGAAGAAGGUUUUCGGAUCGUAAAACUCUGUUGGUAGAGAAGAACGUUGGUGAGAGUGGAAAGCUCAUCAAGUGACGGUAACUACCCAGAAAGGGACGGCUAACUACGUG